AGCCCACAUGAAGUGGGCAGCUGUGUCUUCAGGGGCCUUGCUUCACCACCAGCAUGUGCCAGUGGGUCUGCUGGACACCGACUUGACACAGGAGAAGUGAGAGGAGCGGCCGGGCUCUCUGGCAGUGCGGGAGGCAAUACACAGGCAGAGAAGCCCACUGCAGUGGUGGCAGUGGUGUCAGUGAUGGCGUUUCCAGCUUUGAUUGCAUGUAGUUGUGGAGAGAACAAGGUCUCCCCUGAGCCUCCUUUUACCUAGGCUGAACAGUCCUAGCUGCCUCAGCUGCUCCCCAGUUGACUUGUGCUACAGACACCUCACCAGCUUUGUGGCCCUUUUUUGGACAUGCUCGAGAACCUCCAUGUCCUGUUGUCAGUGAUCCAAAACUCAACACUGGAGUUGAGGUGCAGUCUCACCAGUGCUGAGUACAGGAGGACUCUGGUACUUUCUAGAGCUGCAGUGGAGCAAACACUGGGAGUGUUUAUGAGGCAUUUUGAUUCAGAUCUCUUCUCAGUAAUCCUGAGGCUAACAGAGAAAUUCUGCUUAUUAAUUCUGCUUUGAAGCACAAACAGGGCUUACCUUUUCUCAAACUGUCUCCAGCUUUAGAAUAGCUACCGAGUGACACAAGAAAACGUGAAUUUGUGUUUGAUCAUCUGUUUUACCAUGUAGCUUGGCAUAAAGGGAGCA